CAGAGAGAAGCUUGCUUCUCUGCUGACGAGCGGCGGACGGGUGAGUAAUACUUGGGAAUUUGCCUUUAGGCGGGGGACAACCACGGGAAACUGUGGCUAAUACCGCAUAAUGUCUACGGACCAAAGUGGGGGACCUUCGGGCCUCACACCUAAAGAUGAGCCCAAGCGGGAUUAGCUAGUUGGUGGGGUAAAGGCUCACCAAGGCGACGAUCCCUAGCUGUUCUGAGAGGAUGAUCAGCCACACUGGGACUGAGACACGGCCCAGACUCCUACGGGAGGCAGCAGUGGGGAAUAUUGCACAAUGGGGGAAACCCUGAUGCAGCCAUGCCGCGUGUGUGAA
rnacentral:rRNA from 1 species